rnacentral:lncRNA from 1 species
AUGAGGGAUAACAUGUGGCCCAGCAGAAUAAGUGUACAUUUGUCUCGUAUUCAAAAAGUUACAAAACAGGAUUCUCCGUUUGCUGCCUCUCUUUAUGGACUGAAGGAAAAGUCUUCGUUAUAUCUACAACCAUUUUUAAGCUAUUACAGUAACAUUGCUGUGGUCAUAAUAAUUUCUCCUCAGACAGUCAGUCAGUUGGGUAUUCCUUGGCUUUUCCUCAGUCAGACAGUCAGUCAGUCAGUCAGUCAGUUGGGUAUUCCUUGGCUUUCUCCUCAGUCAGACAGUCAGUCAGACAGUCAGUUGGGUAUUCCUUGGCUUUCUCCUCAGUCAGUCAGACAGUCAGUUGGGUAUUCCUUGGUUUUCUCCUCAGUCAGACAGUCAGUUGGGUAUUCUUUGGCUUUCUCCUCAGUCAGACAGUCAGUUGGGUAUUCCUUGGUUUUCUCCUCAGUCAGUCAGUCAGACAGUCAGUUGGGUAUUCCUUGGCUUUCUCCUCAGUCAGACAGUCAGUUGGGUAUUCCUUGGCUUUCUCCUCAGUCAGACAGUCAGUCAGUUGGGUAUUCCUUGGCUUUCUCCUCAGUCAGACAGUCAGUCAGUUGGGUAUUCCUUGGCUUUCUCCUCAGUCAGUCAGAUAGUCAGUUGGGUAUUCCUUGGCUUUCUCCUCAGUCAGACAGUCAGUCAGUCAGACAGUCAGUCAGUUGGGUAUUCCUUGGCUUUCUCCUCAGUCAGACAGUCAGUCAGUUGGGUAUUCCUUGGCUUUCUCCUCAGUCAGACAGUCAGUUGGGUAUUCCUUGGCUUUCUCCUCAGUCAGACAGUCAGUUGGGUAUUCCAUGGCUUUCUCCUCAGUCAGUCAGACAGUCAGUUGGGUAUUCCUUGGCUUUCUCCUCAGUCAGACAGUCAGUCAGUUGGGUAUUCCUUGGCUUUCUCCUCAGUCAGACAGUCAGUCAGUUGGGUAUUCCUUGGCUUUCUCCUCAGUCAGACAGUCAGUCAGUUGGGUAUUCCUUGGCUUUCUCCUCAGUCAGUCAGUCAGUUGGGUAUUCCUUGGCUUUCUCCUCAGUCAGACAGUCAGUCAGUUGGGUAUUCCUUGGCUUUCUCCUCAGUCAGUCAGUCAGACAGUCAGUUGGGUAUUCCUUGGCUUUCUCCUCAGUCAGACAGUCAGUCAGUUGGGUAUUCAUUGGCUUUCUCCUCAGUCAGUCAGUCAGACAGUCAGUUGGGUAUUCCUUGGCUUUCUCCUCAGUCAGUCAGUCAGACAGUCAGUUGGGUAUUCCUUGGCUUUCGCCAAAGCAGCAGGGUCAUUUCAGUCCACCCAAAAGCUGGGUAACUGGCACAGUUGGCACAUGCUUGUUUUAA